rnacentral:rRNA from 1 species
ACCUACAGCCACACUGAACUGAACAUGCCUGAUCCCAUCUGAUCUCUGAAGCUAAGCAGUUCUGGGCCUGGCUACUACUUCGAUGGGAGAUCACCUGGGAAUCCCAGGUUCCAUAGGCU